CUUACAAUGUUUUUUUUGGUUUUAAAAUAUAUUUACGUUGCUAAAUUGUUGUAAUUACUGUUUUUUUUUAUAAUCCUGUUUUCAAAACAAAAUACACAACAUAUGAUACUAAAUGUUGUAAACUUUGUGACUGUGCAGCUGAUUGUUCCUCCAAAAUGUGGGCGAGCACAACAGCAAGGUGCUGCUGCUGCUGGUGCUGGGAGGCCACAACAGGCACAUUCUCAAGCCCCAUCCCCUUCUGGCUCACCCGCCACCUCUCCUGCCCAAUCCCCCUCUCCUGCCCAAUCCCCCUCUCCUGCCCAAUCCCCCUCUCCAGCCACCUCACCCUCUCCAGCCCAAUCCCCCUCUCCAGCCCAAUCCCCCUCUCCAGCCACCUCACCCUCUCCAGCCACCUCACCCUCUUUUGCCCAAUCCCCCUCUCCAGCCCAAACCCCCUCUCCAGCCACCUCACCCUCUCCUGCCACCUCACCCUCAUUUUCCCACUCCCCCUCUCCAGCCCAAGCCCACUCUCUUUCCCAAUCCCCCUCUCCAGCCCACACCCCCUCUCCAGCCCAAUCACACUCUCUUGCCAAAUUCCCCUCUCUGCCCCCCUCCCCCUCUGUGUCCCAAAAAAGCACACCACCACCCUCACACUAUCAUUCCCAAACCCCCUCUGUAAGUACUUCCCCCUUCCAUCCUCUCACACAAUUGGACCCUCCUUCCCCCAUCCUGCCUCCUUCCCCCAUCCAGCACCCAUCCCCCAUCCAGCCAACCUCACCCAUCCAGCCUCCAUCCCCCAGCAAGCCAACAGAAUGGGCAGCAGAGGCCCCGUAGCCACUAGAGGGAGGUGGCCAAGUGGCAGAGGAGAAUGGUGCCGUUGGAGAUCCCACAAGACUGGCAGUCAUCGUUGCCCGCAUGAAGGCACAUUUGGAGGCCAUGUUGGCCGAAGUUGACGUGUUACAAAAUGUACUUUAAAAAAAAAUUAAAAAAAAAGUUUCUUUGACAAUUUUGAUUAAAAAAAAAAAUA